CCUUAGCCCGGAUGGAAGCGGCAUCCUUUUUAUUUUUUCUUUAAAAAUAAAAAGAUACAGCGAACAGCCGGAUGAGCU
rnacentral:sRNA from 1 species